AGCGUGGAGACAGGUGGUGCAUGGCUGUCGUCAGCUCGUGUCGUGAGAUGUUGGGUUAAGUCCCGCAACGAGCGCAACCCUCACCCCUUGUUGCUACCAGGUAAAGCUGGGCACUCUAGGGGAACUGCCCCGGUCAACGGGGAGGAAGGCGGGGAUGACGUCAAGUCAUCAUGCCCCUUACGUCCUGGGCUACACACGUGCUACAAUGGCCGGUACAAAGGGAUGCAACGCCGCGAGGCAGAGCCAAACCCAAAAAGCCGGUCUAAGUUCAGAUUGGAGUCUGCAACUCGACUCCAUGAAGGAGGAAUCGCUAGUAAUCGCGUAUCAGCACGACGCGGUGAAUACGUUCCCGGGCCUUGUACACACCGCCCGUCACACCACGAAAGCCAGCUGUACUCGAAGUCGCUGAG
rnacentral:rRNA from 1 species